rnacentral:rRNA from 1 species
GCCCAGCUUGCUGGGUGGAUUAGUGGCGAACGGGUGAGUAACACGUGGGUGAUCUGCCCUGCACUCUGGGAUAAGCCUGGGAAACUGGGUCUAAUACCGGAUAGGACCUUCGGCCGCAUGGCUGGGGGUGGAAAGUUUUUCGGUGCAGGAUGAGCCCGCGGCCUAUCAGCUUGUUGGUGGGGUAAUGGCCUACCAAGGCGACGACGGGUAGCCGGCCUGAGAGGGCGACCGGCCACACUGGGACUGAGACACGGCCCAGACUCCUACGGGAGGCAGCAGUGGGGAAUAUUGCACAAUGGGCGCAAGCCUGAUGCAGCGACGCCGCGUGAGGGAUGACGGCCUUCGGGUUGUAAACCUCUUUCACCCAUGACGAAGCGCAAGUGACGGUAGUGGGAGAAGAAGCACCGGCCAACUACGUGCCAGCAGCCGCGGUAAUACGUAGGGUGCGAGCGUUGUCCGGAAUUACUGGGCGUAAAGAGCUCGUAGGCGGUUUGUCGCGUCGUCUGUGAAAACCCGCAGCUCAACUGCGGGCUUGCAGGCGAUACGGGCAGACUCGAGUACUGCAGGGGAGACUGGAAUUCCUGGUGUAGCGGUGAAAUGCGCAGAUAUCAGGAGGAACACCGGUGGCGAAGGCGGGUCUCUGGGCAGUAACUGACGCUGAGGAGCGAAAGCGUGGGUAGCGAACAGGAUUAGAUACCCUGGUAGUCCACGCCGUAAACGGUGGGCGCUAGGUGUGGGUUUCCUUCCACGGGAUCCGUGCCGUAGCCAACGCAUUAAGCGCCCCGCCUGGGGAGUACGGCCGCAAGGCUAAAACUCAAAGGGAAUUGACGGGGGGCCCGCACAAGCGGCGGGAGCAUGUGGGAUUAAUUCGAUGCAACGCG